rnacentral:rRNA from 1 species
AGAGAGAGACAUGCGCGCAUAUCAAUAAGCGGAGGAAAAGAAACUAACAAGGAUUCCCUUAGUAACGGCGAGUGAAGCGGGAAGAGCUCAAAUUUGAAAUCUUCAAGGUUUUACCUUGACGAAUUGUAGUUUAAAGAAGUGUUUUCUGCUGAAGUUUUGGUAAAAGUUCUUUGGAAUAGGACAUCAUAGAGGGUGAGAAUCCCGUAUUUGACCAUUAUUUUCAGCUUUGUGAUACACUUUCAAAGAGUCGGAUUGUUUGAGAAUGCAGUCCAAAAUGGGUGGUAAAUUUCAUCUAAAGCUAAAUAUUGGCGAGAGACCGAUAGCGAACAAGUACCGUGAGGGAAAGAUGAAAAGAACUUUGAGAAGAGAGUUAAACAGUACGUGAAAUUGUCAAAAGGGAAGCGUUUGACACCAGUGUUGUUUUCUCGAAAAUCAAUUAAAAAAUGGCUAGAUUUUGUAUGUUGUAUUGACCUUUAAUCAAGCUUCACUGCUACAUCUUUUCGUGUCUUUUUUAAUGCACUUUUCGUUUAACAAGUCAACAUCAGUUUCUUUUGUUGUAAAAGGGUCAUUGGAAGGUGGCUUUCUUUUCGGAGAAAGUGUUUAUAGCCUUUGGCCUCUGCAAUCGGAGAGAUUGAGGUCUGCAGCGUAGACUCCUUCGGGGUUAGAUACAUUUGUGCUAAGUUAUAGCCUUUUCAUAGACAACUUGUUGACUAUAAUCAGUCAUGUAGCUUACUCGCUUAUGCUAUUUUACCUACGCUUAGGAUGUUGAAGUCAUCGUAUCGCGC